GGGGGCAUAGCUCAGGGGUAGAGCAUUUGACUGCAGAUCAAGCAGUCCCUGGUUCAAAUCCAGGUGCUCCCU
rfam:Neotoma lepida isolate 417 scaffold_8959, whole genome shotgun sequence.